CCCUUAGAUGUUCUGGGCUGCACGCGCGCGACAAUGACGUUUGCAACGAGAUUGCGAGGCCGUCAGGUCGAGCUGAUCUUGCAAGCUGCGUCGUGAUAGGGACAGUCGAUUGCAAUUAUUCGACUCGAACGAGGAAUUCCUUGUAAUCGCGCAUCAUCAGUGCGCGCUGAAUACGUCCCUGCCCUUUGUACACACCGCCCGUCGCUCCUACCGAUUGAGCAUCCCGGUGAAGACUCAGGAGAUAUGUACGUGGCUGGUCUCCAGCUGCGUUGCGUGCCGAAUUUGUCUAAACCUUGAUGCUUAGAGGAAGGAGAAGUCGUAACA
rnacentral:rRNA from 1 species